rnacentral:rRNA from 1 species
UACGAAGGGGGCUAGCGUUGCUCGGAAUCACUGGGCGUAAAGGGUGCGUAGGCGGGUCUUUAAGUCAGGGGUGAAAUCCUGGAGCUCAACUCCAGAACUGCCUUUGAUACUGAAGAUCUUGAGUUCGGGAGAGGUGAGUGGAACUGCGAGUGUAGAGGUGAAAUUCGUAGAUAUUCGCAAGAACACCAGUGGCGAAGGCGGCUCACUGGCUCGAUACUGACGCUGAGGAGCGAAAGCGUGGGGAGCGAACAGG